UUGAACGCUGGCGGCAGGCCUAACACAUGCAAGUCGAACGGUAACAGGAAGCAGCUUGCUGCUUCGCUGACGAGUGGCGGACGGGUGAGUAAUGUCUGGGAAACUGCCUGAUGGAGGGGGAUAACUACUGGAAACGGUAGCUAAUACCGCAUAACGUCGCAAGACCAAAGAGGGGGACCUUCGGGCCUCUUGCCAUCGGAUGUGCCCAGAUGGGAUUAGCUAGUAGGUGGGGUAACGGCUCACCUAGGCGACGAUCCCUAGCUGGUCUGAGAGGAUGACCAGCCACACUGGAACUGAGACACGGUCCAGACUCCUACGGGAGGCAGCAGUGGGGAAUAUUGCACAAUGGGCGCAAGCCUGAUGCAGCCAUGCCGCGUGUAUGAAGAAGGCCUUCGGGUUGUAAAGUACUUUCAGCGGGGAGGAAGGGAGUAAAGUUAAUACCUUUGCUCAUUGACGUUACCCGCAGAAGAAGCACCGGCUAACUCCGUGCCAGCAGCCGCGGUAAUACGGAGGGUGCAAGCGUUAAUCGGAAUUACUGGGCGUAAAGCGCACGCAGGCGGUUUGUUAAGUCAGAUGUGAAAUCCCCGGGCUCAACCUGGGAACUGCAUCUGAUACUGGCAAGCUUGAGUCUCGUAGAGGGGGGUAGAAUUCCAGGUGUAGCGGUGAAAUGCGUAGAGAUCUGGAGGAAUACCGGUGGCGAAGGCGGCCCCCUGGACGAAGACUGACGCUCAGGUGCGAAAGCGUGGGGAGCAAACAGGAUUAGAUACCCUGGUAGUCCACGCCGUAAACGAUGUCGACUUGGAGGUUGUGCCCUUGAGGCGUGGCUUCCGGAGCUAACGCGUUAAGUCGACCGCCUGGGGAGUACGGCCGCAAGGUUAAAACUCAAAUGAAUUGACGGGGGCCCGCACAAGCGGUGGAGCAUGUGGUUUAAUUCGAUGCAACGCGAAGAACCUUACCUGGUCUUGACAUCCACAGAACUUUCCAGAGAUGGAUUGGUGCCUUCGGGAACUGUGAGACAGGUGCUGCAUGGCUGUCGUCAGCUCGUGUUGUGAAAUGUUGGGUUAAGUCCCGCAACGAGCGCAACCCUUAUCCUUUGUUGCCAGCGGUCCGGCCGGGAACUCAAAGGAGACUGCCAGUGAUAAACUGGAGGAAGGUGGGGAUGACGUCAAGUCAUCGUGGCCCUUACGACCAGGGCUACACACGUGCUACAAUGGCGCAUACAAAGAGAAGCGACCUCGCGAGAGCAAGCGGACCUCAUAAAGUGCGUCGUAGUCCGGAUUGGAGUCUGCAACUCGACUCCAUGAAGUCGGAAUCGCUAGUAAUCGUGGAUCAGAAUGCCACGGUGAAUACGUUCCCGGGCCUUGUACACACCGCCCGUCACACCAUGGGAGUGGGUUGCAAAAGAAGUAGGUAGCUUAACCUUCGGGAGGGCGCUUACCACUUUGUGAUUCAUGACUGGGGUG
rnacentral:rRNA from 1 species